CUUGUGUACAAUGAAACUAUCUGUACUGUACUGUGUACUACUGAGGUAAAGUCUGUAAACAUAAUUCUGGGAAUAAAAACAUGAA